UGCAAUUUGCGGCUGCAGGGAAAACCUCCAAACCCUAAAGAAGAAAUUCAGUUUUUUCGGAUCAUCAAAUUUUAAACAUCAAAUCAAAAGAACACUAGAAAAUGGUCAAGAAGAAGAAGAAAAUGGUUUGUGAAGUGAUUUGGAUAAUAAUUAGUUUUUGGUUUGAGCGGAUUCGGAAAUGUGGUUUUCAAAUAUUGAUCUCAGCUUCUUCUUUUUCAUUACAUCCAUCUGUUACAACUUUAGCCAUGAUCAAAUUAGAUGAUUUCAGCGGAGCUUAGAUUUUGCUAAUCGGGGGAUUAUGAUAACGGAUCAAAGUGAGAGGCGAAGAUGGGAGUUUGAUGUUCAGUGACAAUGUUUACAAGAACCAUGAUCCUUUUGAGGACGAUGUUGUAUCAAAUUUCAUUAACAACUCAAGGACGUCUAUUGUCCUAUCAUAUGGGAAUGUUUGUCUAUGAACUCCUCUAGUUUUUUGUUUGCUUGUUUUUAAUUUUUAUAGAAGAGGAUUUAAGCAUUAUUGAAAUGAAAAAAAGAAGAAGUUACAACCUGAAACAGAAUCUCAAGACCACAAUCAACAGCCAGUCAGCCACACUUCAGUUAGGAUAUUUUCGUACUAGAUGAACGUUAUAAAAAAGCUACCUUGUGCCUGUGGAAUAUAUAGGAACGAGAAAACUAAAUGAAAAAGACAUCACGAUACACCCCAAGAUAAAAAUGAAAUGCAUCUUGCUGAUAAACACCAGUGGGCUAAGUGAUAGGGAGUGGAAGGAUCUUGUGAAAUUUUGGACUAUGGAAGAGCAUCAGCUAUGAUAUUGGGUAGUGAAGUUCAUCCGCCUUUAUGACAAUGAUGACAAGAGGAUGCCAUACAUGAUGUUAGUUGCUGGUGGAAACAUCCUUCCAUUACAAGAGUUGACAUGUGACUGCGCCUUUGUGGACACAGUUCAUGAUUCUGCAGGGAAUUUAAAAAUAAAGGAAUGCUACUGUGGUUCUAUUGAGUACAUUGGAAGGAUGUAUUAAGACAUUGUGCGAAGUACGCAUGAAAGGAACGUGGAAAUGAGCAAAAGAUGUAUGACCUAUGCAACAAAGCAUCGUAGUGGGAGGCGCACCAUUUACACAAGAGGAAAAAAUGUGCUGAAGUUUUACAGAAAUAUGCGCGUCUACAACCCUGACAACAACUAGUAAUACUGCUACGUUUUUAUUCCCUUGCUAGUUUUAGCAACAAUUGCAGUUAACAGAUGAUGUAAGGUACAAUGUCCCUGGUUGUAAUGCUCGUGCAGAGUCCGACUUCAUAUUACUACUCCUACUAGUCUACUACUAUUACUAGCAGUAGUUUUUUAAUAAAAUUAUCUUUACUGUUAACUGGUUAGUUUUUACUGAGCCAUUUCAGCUUUUAAUAGGUGAACUAGAAAUGCAAGAGGCUAAUGUAUUCUGCCUAAUGGGAUGUUCUUUGUAAUCAUAAUUUCUGCUCUAUAUGAGUCUUAACAGCUUUGAUUUGUCAAUUUCAUUCUGGAUACAAUUA